CAUGGCAGCCCUGUAAUAAUUUCCAAAAGUAUGCUGAGGCAGAGGUGGCUUGAACCUGGAACGAAGAUCCAUGAUAUAAACAACUGCGUACAACGUUUGAGCUCUUUCCCUAGGCCUUGACAAAACAAAGAUGUCCCAUAAAAAAGCAGACAAGGCCUCAACUUUUGAUGGCCGUUUCUGGGUUUUUGAGACCUUGAUGCUCUGUUCAUAUCUUGAUCUCAAAGCCUCAACCUUUGACACAUCAAACACAAACAUCUUGGUUUUGAUCUUGGUGAUAGGAAACCCUAAAUACCCAUCCAUAUUUCUUGGUGGGAAAAUUGAAGCUGCAGAAAAAUCCGGACCCACAAUAGAAUUUUUGUUCCCCGGUCCACAAUUAGAAGCAGCUGCCCAAUUGUUCACAAAUGUAAAACAUGAGAGGCCGUCUGCAAUUCUGUGUGAGAUGCAUAACCCCACAGCAAUUCCUCCACAUUCAAACACAUUGAGCUGGACACCAAGGGCUGUUUCUGUGACUUCAUCCAGCUUGAAUGGCAGCAGUUUGUGGAGCUCAGAGAGGCAAGGGUUGGUGAUGACAUCAGAGAGCAGAUGGGUUUUGACUUUAACUUCAGAAAAUGGGAUGCCUUGGUCUUGGCAGUGAACAAAAAGGUUGUUUCUGACUCUCCCAGCAAAAGGGUAGUAUUGGGUCAAGACUUUGGAUAGAGAAGUCUUGAGGAGGUUGGAGAUUUGAUGGAUGUUUGUGGAGCCAUUGAAUUCAUAAAAGUAGAGAAAAGGAACGUAGGCAUGGGGUGCUAAUUGAUCCAGAAAGGAGAGCUGGUGGUGGUGGAGAUGGUGAGGGGUUGGAGAAGAUGGUUUGAUUGUCUCUUUGGUGAUUACUUCAACUUCAAUCUUCAUCCCGAUCUUCUUUGCUAGAGAACUUUUGAUCGAUCUGUUUUGCUAUUGCUAAUUAAAUUAUGCAAAGUUGGAAUCCUUCACAGAUAAUCACUUUUUUUUUUUCUUCCCAUUUUAAUAUUUUUUGGAUAAGGUCUUGCAUUUCUCGGUGGAAUAAGAUAACCACA
rnacentral:lncRNA from 1 species